UACGGGGGAGCAAGGCGUUGUUCGGAUUCAUUGGGCGUAAAGGGUGCGUAGGCGGCGCGGUAAGUCGGGUGUGAAUCUACGGGCUUACUCCGGAAACUGACAUUCGAUACUGCCGUGCUUGAGGACUGGAGAGGAGACUGGAAUUUACGGUGUAGCGGUGAAAUGCGUAGAUAUCGUAAGGAAGACCAGUGGCGAAGGCGGGUCUCUGGGACGGUACUGACGCUGAGACGCGAAAGCGUGGGGAGCGAACAGG
rnacentral:rRNA from 1 species